rnacentral:rRNA from 1 species
CCUACGGGAGGCAGCAGUAGGGAAUCUUUCACAAUGGGCGAAAGCCUGAUGGAGCAACGCCGCGUGCAGGAUGAAGGCCUUCGGGUUGUAAACUGCUUUUAUAAGCGAGAAAUAUGAUGGUAACUUAUGAAUAAGGAUCGGCUAACUACGUGCCAGCAGCCGCGGUCAUACGUAGGAUCCGAGCAUUAUCCGGAGUGACUGGGUGUAAAGAGUUGCGUAGGUGGCAUAAUAAGUAGCUAGUGAAAUCUGGUGGCUCAACCAUUCAGACUAUUAGCUAAACUGUUAAGCUCGAGACCGUUAGGGGUAACUGGAAUUUCUAGUGUAGGAGUGAAAUCCGUAGAUAUUAGAAAGAACACCAAUAGCGUAGGCAGGUUGCUGGGACGGUUCUGACACUAAGGCACGAAAGUGUAGGGAGCAAACGGGAUUAGAUACCCCUGUAGUC